CGUCAGUUUCACUUUAAUUCCGACUGGGUUCGUGGUGGUGCCUGUUUGGGAGGCCUUCCAGGUCUGAUCAUUGACACUUUCGGAUGGAUAUACUUAUGUUCCCCCAUUUUUGUUUUGUUUCGUUAUUUAUUUUUCAAUUAUUACAUUAUUCCUAUUACCAUACCAGUUAGUUAUUGCUUGCGGGGGUCUGGGGGUGAUGGCUGGGAAGGGGCAGACGCAGACACCUGGAUAGCAAGUUGAUGUUUUGUGCUGUUCUGCCUUUAGGCUUGUCAUGUGCCUUUUACUUAGGAGUGGCUUCUGUCUGGCCACUCUACCAUAAAGGCCUGAUUGGUAGAGUGCUGCAGAUAUGGUCAUCCUUCUGGAAGGUUCUCCCAUCUCUUCAGAGGAACUCUGGAGCUCUGUCAGAGUGACCAUCGAGUUCUUGGCCACCUCCCUGACCAAGGCUCUUCUCCCCCGAUUGGUCAGUUUGGCUGGGCGGCCAGCUCUAGGAAGAGUCUUGGUGGUUCCAAACCCCUUCCAUUUCAGAAUGAUGGAUGCCACUGUGUUCUUGGGGACAUUCAAUGCUGCAGAUAUUUUUGGUACCCUUCUGUCUCGACACAAUCUUGUCUCGGAGCUCUACGGACAAUUCCUUCGAUCUCAUGGCUUCAUUUUUGCUCUGACAUGCACUGUCAACUGUGGGACCUUAUAUAGACAAAUCAUGUCCAAUCAAUUGAAUUUACCACAGGUGGACUCCAAUCAAGUUGUAGAAACCUCUCAAGGAUGAUCAAUGGAAACAGGAUGUACCUGAGCUCAAUUUCAAGUUUCAUAGCAAAGUGUCUGAAUACUUAAGUACAUUUAAAAUAUAUAUAUUUAACCUUUAUUUAACUAGACAAGUCAGUUAAGAACAAAUUCCUAUUUACAAUGACGGCCUAUACUGGCCAAACCUGGGCCAAUUGUGCGCCACCCUAUGGGACUCCCAAUCACGGCCGGUUGUGAUACAGCCUGGAUUCGAACCAGGGUGUCUGUAGUUAUGCCUCUAGCACUGAGAUGCCAUGCCUUAGACCGCUGCCCCACUUGGGAGCCCAAAUAAGGUAUUUCUGUUUUUUAUUUGUCA
rnacentral:lncRNA from 1 species